rnacentral:rRNA from 1 species
UACGUAGGGUGCAAGCGUUGUCCGGAAUUAUUGGGCGUAAAGGGCUCGUAGGCGGUUUGUCACGUCGGAAGUGAAAUCUUACAGCUUAACUGUGAACUUGCUUUCGAUACGGGCAGACUUGAGGCAUUCAGGGGAGAACGGAAUUCCUGGUGUAGCGGUGAAAUGCGCAGAUAUCAGGAGGAACACCGGUGGCGAAGGCGGUUCUCUGGGAAUGUACUGACGCUGAGGAGCGAAAGUGUGGGGAGCGAACAGG